rnacentral:rRNA from 1 species
GGGUUGUGAGGUUAAGCGACUAAGCGUACACGGUGGAUGCCCUGGCAGUCAGAGGCGAUGAAGGACGUGCUAAUCUGCGAAAAGCGUCGGUAAGGUGAUAUGAACCGUUAUAACCGGCGAUGUCCGAAUGGGGAAACCCAGUGUGAUUCGUCACACUAUCGUUAACUGAAUACAUAGGUUAACGAGGCGAACCGGGGGAACUGAAACAUCUAAGUACCCCGAGGAAAAGAAAUCAACCGAGAUUCCCCCAGUAGCGGCGAGCGAACGGGGAGCAGCCCAGAGUCUGAAUCAGCUUGUGUGUUAGUGGAACGGUCUGGAAAGUCCGACGGUACAGGGUGAUAGUCCCGUACACCAAAAUGCACAGGUUGUGAACUCGAAGAGUAGGGCGGGACACGUGGUAUCCUGUCUGAAUAUGGGGGGACCAUCCUCCAAGGCUAAAUACUCCUGACUGACCGAUAGUGAACCAGUACCGUGAGGGAAAGGCGAAAAGAACCCCGGCGAGGGGAGUGAAAAAGAACCUGAAACCGUGUACGUACAAGCAGUGGGAGCACCUUCGGGUGUGACUGCGUACCUUUUGUAUAAUGGGUCAGCGACUUAUAUUCUGUAGCAAGGUUAACCGUAUAGGGGAGCCGCAGGGAAACCGAGUCUUAACUGGGCGUUAAGUUGCAGGGUAUAGACCCGAAACCCGGUGAUCUAGCCAUGGGCAGGUUGAAGGUUGGGUAACACUAACUGGAGGACCGAACCGACUAAUGUUGAAAAAUUAGCGGAUGACUUGUGGCUGGGGGUGAAAGGCCAAUCAAACCGGGAGAUAGCUGGUUCUCCCCGAAAGCUAUUUAGGUAGCGCCUCGUGAAUUCAUCUUCGGGGGUAGAGCACUGUUUCGGCUAGGGGGUCAUCCCGACUUACCAACCCGAUGCAAACUACGAAUACCGAAGAAUGUUAUCACGGGAGACACACGGCGGGUGCUAACGUCCGUCGUGAAGAGGGAAACAACCCAGACCGCCAGCUAAGGUCCCAAAGUCAUGGUUAAGUGGGAAACGAUGUGGGAAGGCACAGACAGCCAGGAUGUUGGCUUAGAAGCAGCCAUCAUUUAAAGAAAGCGUAAUAGCUCACUGGUCGAGUCGGCCUGCGCGGAAGAUGUAACGGGGCUAAACCAUGCACCGAAGCUGCGGCAGCGACACUAUGUGUUGUUGGGUAGGGGAGCGUUCUGUAAGCCUGCGAAGGUGUGCUGUGAGGCAUGCUGGAGGUAUCAGAAGUGCGAAUGCUGACAUAAGUAACGAUAAAGCGGGUGAAAAGCCCGCUCGCCGGAAGACCAAGGGUUCCUGUCCAACGUUAAUCGGGGCAGGGUGAGUCGACCCCUAAGGCGAGGCCGAAAGGCGUAGUCGAUGGGAAACAGGUUAAUAUUCCUGUACUUGGUGUUACUGCGAAGGGGGGACGGAGAAGGCUAUGUUAGCCGGGCGACGGUUGUCCCGGUUUAAGCAUGUAGGCUGAUUGUCCAGGCAAAUCCGGAUAAUCAAGGCUGAGGUGUGAUGACGAGGCACUACGGUGCUGAAGUAACAAAUGCCCUGCUUCCAGGAAAAGCCUCUAAGCAUCAGGUAACAUCAAAUCGUACCCCAAACCGACACAGGUGGUCAGGUAGAGAAUACCAAGGCGCUUGAGAGAACUCGGGUGAAGGAACUAGGCAAAAUGGUGCCGUAACUUCGGGAGAAGGCACGCUGGUGUGUAGGUGAAGUCCCUGCGGAUGGAGCUGAGACCAGUCGAAGAUACCAGCUGGCUGCAACUGUUUAUUAAAAACACAGCACUGUGCAAACACGAAAGUGGACGUAUACGGUGUGACGCCUGCCCGGUGCCGGAAGGUUAAUUGAUGGGGUUAUCCGUAAGGAGAAGCUCUUGAUCGAAGCCCCGGUAAACGGCGGCCGUAACUAUAACGGUCCUAAGGUAGCGAAAUUCCUUGUCGGGUAAGUUCCGACCUGCACGAAUGGCGUAAUGAUGGCCAGGCUGUCUCCACCCGAGACUCAGUGAAAUUGAACUCGCUGUGAAGAUGCAGUGUACCCGCGGCAAGACGGAAAGACCCCGUGAACCUUUACUAUAGCUUGACACUGAACAUUGAGCCUUGAUGUGUAGGAUAGGUGGGAGGCUUUGAAGCGUGGACGCCAGUCUGCGUGGAGCCAACCUUGAAAUACCACCCUUUAAUGUUUGAUGUUCUAACGUUGGCCCCUUACCGGGGUUGCGGACAGUGUCUGGUGGGUAGUUUGACUGGGGCGGUCUCCUCCCAAAGCGUAACGGAGGAGCACGAAGGUUAGCUAAUCCUGGUCGGACAUCAGGAGGUUAGUGCAAUGGCAUAAGCUAGCUUGACUGCGAGCGUGACGGCGCGAGCAGGUGCGAAAGCAGGUCAUAGUGAUCCGGUGGUUCUGAAUGGAAGGGCCAUCGCUCAACGGAUAAAAGGUACUCCGGGGAUAACAGGCUGAUACCGCCCAAGAGUUCAUAUCGACGGCGGUGUUUGGCACCUCGAUGUCGGCUCAUCACAUCCUGGGGCUGAAGUAGGUCCCAAGGGUAUGGCUGUUCGCCAUUUAAAGUGGUACGCGAGCUGGGUUUAGAACGUCGUGAGACAGUUCGGUCCCUAUCUGCCGUGGGCGCUGGAGAAUUGAGGGGGGCUGCUCCUAGUACGAGAGGACCGGAGUGGACGCAUCACUGGUGUUCGGGUUGUCAUGCCAAUGGCACUGCCCGGUAGCUAAAUGCGGAAGAGAUAAGUGCUGAAAGCAUCUAAGCACGAAACUUGCCCCGAGAUGAGUUCUCCCUGAGACUUUAAGUCUCCUGAAGGAACGUUGAAGACGACGACGUUGAUAGGCCGGGUGUGUAAGCGCAGCGAUGCGUUGAGCUAACCGGUACUAAUGAACCGUGAGGCUUAACCUUACAACGCCGAAG